rnacentral:lncRNA from 1 species
UGCCUCCUCUAUUCUAUUACUAAUUGGGAUCAUCGGUGAUGUACCCCUACCAUCCAAAUCAGAAGUGAUGUUCCAAUUCUGGUGUACCCUCAUGUCUAUUAUUAUCUCCAACCUCCUCACUUGCAGCAUUUUCUAAUGUCUAAGUGAGAUCCCCAAACUUGGAGCCAAAGUUGCCCCUAGUGGCUACUAUAUCCCUGUUCAACUCAUCCAAUUCAAAAAAAAUAUUUCAAGCUCUUUGACCUUGUAAUUUGAUCGAUCUAGAUUUUUCUACACACUAUUAGAAACAUUCAUUUUUAUGUAAACAAUGAAGAUAAAUAUAUAAAUCAAAAUGCAUACAAGUACCCUAAUUUUCGCUUCCCACCAAUUAUCCGGAGCAUCCAUAGUUUGCUUUGCAUGAUCCCAACCUAAUCCGACUUCUUUAUCCACUAAAGUGCCACUCCUUCACAUUAUCUCCAUAAUUUUUCAAUUGGAUCCUAUCAUAAUUUUUCUUGGCCUCUUUAUUAAACCUUUUCACUAACAAAUCCCGCCCAUCUUUUGUGAAAUGGGUACUUGGUCUCUACCCAACCCUUACAAAUUCCUUACAAUGUGUAACAAAAAUGGCAUAGUUUCUUAUAAACUUCUUGCUCACUAUUAUCAUCAUCAGCCUUGCCUUUACCUUUUUUUUGUCUUGAAACUUUGUCCCUUUGAAAGC